rnacentral:snRNA from 1 species
GUGUUCACUUCGGCAGCACAUACACUAAAACUGGAGUGGUAAGAGAGUAGCGUGGCCCCUGUGCAAGGCUGACGUGUCAAAUGCACAGCUCAUGGUUUGCUUU